rnacentral:sRNA from 1 species
UUUUAUUUGGUCGGGUUGUUGUCUCUUUGGCACAUUCCCCAUUUCCAUUCUCAAUUUUAUUGUUCCGUUAUUGGUACAAUGACAGUGAAAAUGUAUUUUUCAAGCAAAGUAAAUGUAAAUAAAAUUGAGAAUGGAAAUGGGGAAUGUGCCAAAGAGACAACAACCCGACCACAGAG